rnacentral:rRNA from 1 species
AGGCAGCUCGUAGCAGUAGCGGGGGGAAUACGAGGGUUGGAAGCGUUAUCCGGAUUAAUUGGUGUUAAAGGGGUGGUAGGUGGGUUGGUAAGUCAGUGGUGAAAUCCCCUAGCUUAACUUGGGGACUGACAUUGAUACUAUCAGUCUUGAAUACCGUGGAGGGCAGAGGAAUAUGUCAUGUAGCGGUGAAAUGCUUAGAUAUGACAUAGAACACCAAGUGCGAAGGCAGCUGGCUACACGAAUAUUGACACUGAGGCACGAAAGCAUGGGGAUCAAACAGGAUUAGAUACCCGAGUAGUC